rnacentral:rRNA from 1 species
GCGUGCCUAAUACAUGCAAGUCGAGCGAACAGACGAGGAGCUUGCUCCUCUGACGUUAGCGGCGGACGGGUGAGUAACACGUGGAUAACCUACCUAUAAGACUGGGAUAACUUCGGGAAACCGGAGCUAAUACCGGAUAAUAUAUUGAACCGCAUGGUUCAAUAGUGAAAGACGGUUUUGCUGUCACUUAUAGAUGGAUCCGCGCCGCAUUAGCUAGUUGGUAAGGUAACGGCUUACCAAGGCAACGAUGCGUAGCCGACCUGAGAGGGUGAUCGGCCACACUGGAACUGAGACACGGUCCAGACUCCUACGGGAGGCAGCAGUAGGGAAUCUUCCGCAAUGGGCGAAAGCCUGACGGAGCAACGCCGCGUGAGUGAUGAAGGUCUUCGGAUCGUAAAACUCUGUUAUUAGGGAAGAACAAAUGUGUAAGUAACUAUGCACGUCUUGACGGUACCUAAUCAGAAAGCCACGGCUAACUACGUGCCAGCAGCCGCGGUAAUACGUAGGUGGCAAGCGUUAUCCGGAAUUAUUGGGCGUAAAGCGCGCGUAGGCGGUUUUUUAAGUCUGAUGUGAAAGCCCACGGCUCAACCGUGGAGGGUCAUUGGAAACUGGAAAACUUGAGUGCAGAAGAGGAAAGUGGAAUUCCAUGUGUAGCGGUGAAAUGCGCAGAGAUAUGGAGGAACACCAGUGGCGAAGGCGACUUUCUGGUCUGU